UAGGGAAUCUUCCACAAUGGGCGCAAGCCUGAUGGAGCAACACCGCGUGAGUGAAGAAGGGUUUCGGCUCGUAAAGCUCUGUUGUUGGAGAAGAACGUGCGUGAGAGUAACUGUUCACGCAGUGACGGUAUCCAACCAGAAAGUCACGGCUAACUACGUGCCAGCAGCCGCGGUAAUACGUAGGGUGCGAGCGUUGUCCGGAAUUAUUGGGCGUAAAGGGCUCGUAGGCGGUUUGUCGCGUCAGGAGUGAAAACUCGGGGCUUAACUCCGAGCCUGCUUCUGAUACGGGCAGACUAGAGGUAUGCAGGGGAGAACGGAAUUCCUGGUGUAGCGGUGAAAUGCGCAGAUAUCAGGAGGAACACCGGUGGCGAAGGCGGUUCUCUGGGCAUUACCUGACGCUGAGGAGCGAAGUGUGGGGGAGCGAACAGGAUUAGAUACC
rnacentral:rRNA from 1 species